CACGAACGGCUGCAGCACUAUGAAGAGAGCAAGCCCGUCCCCGUCCUGGAAGGAGCUGCUCCUCUGGCACGUGACGUGUCUGAUGAGCUGGAAGGCAAAUCAGCCAGUCAGGAUGUCAAAGAGCUUCUUAAACUGCUGGCAAACCCACAUGUAAAGUUGCCCAAAAGAAGUACGACCCAGAACUACCACCGCUGCCUGAAGACAUCGAUGAUGAUGAAGAUUCUGUGAAAAGUAUAAGAUUGGUCAAGAAUAAGGAGCCACUGGCUUGAUUCAUGUUGGGGAUGAACUGAAGAAGGUCAAUGGAAUCCCUGCGGAUGACAAUAACUGGAGGAAAUCAUUCAUAUUCUGGACCCAGGGCCUCCCAUCGCUGUGCUGAAAACCAAACACUGGCCUUUCUCUACAAGUCCUGGCCAACAGACCACAUGCAAUGAGCCGGACGACCUUCCUGGAUGAGGCCGUUGCUGUGUAGUUCCUCCAAGCAGCUUUUGCCAGAGUCCUUAAAUGAGUUCUGUCAAGAGCCUGGACUCUCAAUUGCUGAAGGCCUUCUCAGACACAAAAGCCUCCGGAGCUCUCAACACACUUCCUUUAAAGCACCACUCCAUAAUCUCUGUUUCUUCCAACCAUUCUAACACUAAUCCUUCCUUUGUUGAAAACUCAAUCAAUGCCAUUCCCACCAUCCCUCCACUAAAGUUACUGUGACUUCUAGGCCCAGUCACAAGGAGUCAUUACCUUUAAAGUUGUCCAUGGUGCAAAGGGCGAGGUGCCAAGAAAGAGACCACAGAUGCUUAUUCUGGUACUCUGGCUAUGAUCCAGGAAGGAUGACAAAGCCAUCCCAUGUAAGGAAGCUGGUUUGGCCUUCAAGAAGGGUUGCAUCCUACAGAUCAUGAGCCAAGAUGAUGCAACCUGGUAGCAGGACAAACGCGCGGGUGACACAAAUCCUGGUGCUGGCUUAAUACCAUCCAAACAGUUCCAGGAGAGACACCAGUCGGGCCAAGAAGAACCAGGAGACCGAUGGUGGGGAUUACCACUUCAUGUCCAAGCAGCUCUUUGAGACGGACAGCCACACCAACAAGAGGAAGACUUUCAGGAGAUGGUGAACACGGCCCAGACAAUGGAGACUCAGUACAGCCAUCUCUUUGAGAUGGUUAUAGUCAACGACGACCUUGAUGUUGCCUUCAGCGAGCUGCAGUUGGCACUAAAGAAAGUGGAGACAGAGACACACUGGAUUCCAGUCAGCUGGACUCACUCCUGAGAGACAUACUGACUGUAAAAGGAGAAAAGGGAAGCGCUUUGACAAAAAUAUGCAGGUUUUCUAUCUUUAAAAAAAAAUAUUUGCCAAUGACGGUGUUGGGAAGUAAAUCAGGAAUAAAACAGUGCCUGGCUGCUGUGUCGCCAUACCUGAACUGCAUCGAGCUAAAAAUAAGCUUCUGCCUGGGAUCAGGUUGGAUUUAGACCUCAGCUGUGGUCUGGAAGCUCCAGGUCUGACCAGAUGUGAUCGGGUUGUGGCUGCAGGCUUCUUUCCAGAAUCUAAGACUUGGAAAUUGAUCAGGGUCUCAGUCUGGGUCACACAACCAUGGCCACAA